AUAUCCAAAUCUGUCUCAGAAGCUGAAUCAUUCAUUCCAUUGGCUAUUUGACCCUUGGCGUUAAGGGUUUCGUUAUAGGUAAAAAGCUUUGCAAAAAGUGCAGAACUAUCAGGGGAAACUAAAGAAGCUGUCUUAACAUCCGAAAGUCUAUUUUGUAAAUCCGUUUUGAUCAGCCUUUGGGAUUUUAAAUCCAUUUUGUAAAGAGCGAUUCCACCACCCAAAAAGACAACGAUUAUACAAGGAUCACAAAUGCUUGUUGAGACGACUAUUUGUUUUUUGCUAAAAUUAAAAAGUUGAGUAAGACGUAAAUUUGAGUCGUAUACACGCAGGCUAGUAGGACAUAUCUGAACCAUACGCAUACCGGAAAGCAAAGAGCCGACAUUAAGUGUCUUCGAGUCCUUAGAAAAGUCAGAAUGCUGUACCUCAUCAAAGGUUUCACCUGCCAAAAAUAUAAACGACUCCUUCUCUUUAGAAAGUACAAGAUAAGUUUCUAACUCGGGAUUUGAGUAUUGAGCUUGUAUUCUGCUUUUCAUAUUUCGUAGCUUUCCUGAAAUACUAACGGUCCAUAGUGCUUCACAGCCGUCAAAUUGAAAUUCACCGGCUAUUAAUGGAAAUAUGUUUCGCCGAAAAACAACAAGACCGCCAGCACCGUCAGCUCCUGCUGUACCUACCAAUUCCAGAGGUCCAUGGUUGUCUUGAGGGAAAUAGGAGUACGAUCCUGCCUUUCCAACGGCAAAGUCAGUAAUUGGACCAAUAUUUGUCAAUACAUCACAUAUUUCUAGACGUAGCGGGCCGUUUUCAUAAGCAAUCUUCCUUUUAGAACCCACGGAUUCAUCUGUUUCAUAAAUAUCAAGCAUAUCAUCCAUUUCAGCAUCGUUCGUUCCAUAAAGAGUAUCGUCUCCUUCAUCCAAUCUUACCUCCUCAUUAGUAGUACGCCGAGACCAACGAAGCAAAUAACUGUCAGUAGUCUGGCUACCUAAGAAAACAAGAUUUUCGCCAGCAGGCACUGCACAAGUGAUUCCUGAUUUAAGAAAGUCAUCAUUAAUUUCUAAAUCCAAAGCUUGUAAUGACAGUCCUUUGACUGAUUUACCAUCAAGUAAAAAAUCUAGAUAAAAAAAUUGACCGGACGUGUGCACCAAUACGACAAAGGGAGUUUCAGUCUUACUACUUGUUAAGGGAAUGGCAAUAGUCCCCUCUAGUUCCAGGUUAAAAUCAGACUGGUCUUGAAGUGGGAAAUCAGUACACUUUGAGUAGUAAGAAUUUACGCCGAUACCGACAGUCCGGCCAGCGGAAU